AUUGAACGCUGGCGGCAGGCCUAACACAUGCAAGUCGGGCGAGCGUCGGACUUGUGAGUAAUUUAUUGGGACUGCCCGAUCGAGGGGGAUAACUACUGUAAACGUUGGCUACUACCGCAUACUGUCCGAUAACCCAUAUGUGAUUAGCUAGUCGGUAAGUUAAUGGCUUACCUAGGCGACGAUCCCUAGCUGGUCGGAGAGGAUGAUCAGCAACAUUGGGACUGAGACACGGCCCAGACUCCUACGGAGGCAGCAGUGGGGAAUAUUGCACAAGGGGCGAAAGCCUGAUGCAGCCAUGCGGCGUGGAUGAAGAAGGCCUUAGGGUGGUAAAGUACUUUCAGUAGGGAGGCGUUACCGACAGAAGAAGCACCGGCUAACUCCGUGCCAGCAGCCGCGGUAAUAC
rnacentral:rRNA from 1 species